CUGGUGGGCUACAGUCCACAGGGUCGCAAAGCGUCAGACACAACUGAGCAACUUCACUUCACUUCUCUCCUCUUAUUCAAUGAGGGGACAGGGCAAGAGCAGGUAGUCUGCAGACCCGGAGUGGUCGUUGGCGCUCUCCCCCAGGCACCCAACCGGCCCCACCUUGAGCUCGGCCCUCCAACCCCCACAGCUGGGAGCAGGAAAGCCGUCUGGCCUGAGGCAUCCUGCUGGGGCAGUGGGGCAGAUGGAGACAGGUGAGGGCCUUUUCUGAUCACGUCUCUCGCUAAUGUGCGCUGAGUGGCAGGGACCGCAGGGAGGCCGUGCUGGGUGUUGAGGGCACACGCUCAGCAGCCGGACACCUGUUGGCCCUGUUCAGACCUGGAGAGCUGGGCGGGGCGCCAGGCUCUUUCCGCUGUUGGGGAUCAGGGCUCAGCUCCGAGAUCAUCCGCCCAGGCCUGGCCUCAGGCCUCACGGCCCUUUCAACAUGCUCUAGGAAAAGCAGCCCAGCUGGCUGGCACUAAGUGAGGCAGGCUGAGUUUGCGGUCCUUCGGAAACAGCCAGAGAGUGUCCUCCCAAAUCUGAGGGGUGCUGGAGGGUUGGAGAGCCAAAUGUUGUCCACUUGUCCUCCACUCUUGCCCCCGCUGUGACCCGCAGAGGUCAGGCGCAGGCACAGGGUGGUGGAGGGGGUGCCCCAGAGUCAGGGUGAUGCCAGGCCCAGGGAGGCGUCAUUUCUUCGGCCUGGGCUUCCCCAUCUGCUGGGGCCCAUGAUGCAGAGUCUCCGAGUUUGCCCUCAGCCACAGAGGCUGCAGCUGCCUUCCUGCCUUUGAGAAAUGGACCUGCCCUUUCCUGGGUGAGCGGAGCCUCAGAAAGAGGUGGCGGUAAUUAAUAUUGAUGCGGCUUCAAAUGUUAAAAGUUAGAAUUAAAUCCAAAACAAAAGGAGAAGGUCGUAGGCAGCCAAUUACACAGUGGCUCCUCCAGGGCUGCUCGCCUGCUUUGGGGCGGACCGGACCUCGUCCGGCUCUGCCAAUUAACUCACCCUCACCUCCCUCCGCCGGGGGCCUCGGGCUUCCUGCAAAUCGCAGGGAAGGGCGAGAUUGGCCCAGUGGCAGACGCGCGGAGCGUCUCCCGGGGUGCAAAUGCCAGGGAGGAGGAGGCGCCUGUCAAUUUGCAGGGCUGAGGCCCCAGGGAGGAGAUGCGGCCAUGGUGCCCGAGCCGGGGUGUGAGGAUUAAUGAAGGCGGCUGGGAAGAUGAAAGAGCGCCAGGCGUUUGAGAUGAAACCCAGCAGGCUGCGCGAGCUCAGGAUGAAUUUCAAAAAGCAGAGGCUGCGGGUCGUGCACUAAUUGCCUCGCACGGAUGGUUUCGUAGAUCGUGUCUGAGUCUCCGUAUAUUUGGGUGGAAGGAGAGGUGGGCCGCCCGCUGGGGCAGGUCGACUAGGCGAGGAGGUGAGGGCUGGACGCCCAAGUCUCCCCCAGCGCAGUCCUAUGGCUCGAAGGCCAGAUUCGAAUCGCCUUUCUUAAUAUCCCCCACUUAGUCCUCGGUGGGUUUGUGAGGACCCCUAAGGCGACUAGGAUUCAGGCCAGGAGGGGGCACAGGGAUGGGGGUCUCAGUCUUGGUGUUCAGCCCCAGCCUCUCUGCUGGCACAGGCCUUCAUGUGGACGGCCCCCUCCUCGUGACGACAUGGUGGGGAUCUUUCAAGAAUCAUGACCACGGGAUCUUCCCAACCCAGGGAUUGAACCCACAUCUCCAGCAUUGCAGGCAGAUUCUUCACCAGCUGAGCCACUGGAGAAGCCCCGUCCCACUCCUGGAAGCGAGUCAAGUGUAAGGAUGAGGCAUUCCGGGCUCUGGGUCCUUUGAGCUCUCCAGGCCAUUUGUUCACAUCGGGGCCUCACUCACUCCUAAGCUCUCCUUCAUCCUGAGCUUCUAACCUUGCUGGUUCUGCUGGCUGGAACACUCUGGAACAUUCUGGAACAUUCUUCCCAGUCCCUCCCAACUUCUCCCACCCCAGGAAUGUCAGGAUGCAAAUGUGGCGUGUACUCAUGUGGACGGACUUGCUCAUCCCUGGAGGGACAGCUCUGGACCCAGCCUGGCCAGCCCAUCGGCAGGUGACCUGUAGACUGUGCUGCUGCUGCUAAGUCUCUUCAGUUGAGUCCGACUCUGUGCAACCCUAUGGACUGCAGCCCACUAGGUUCCUCUGUCCAUGAGAUAAAGAAUACUGGCGUGUUUUACCAUGCCCUCCUCAAGGGGAUCUCCCAACCCAGGGAUCAGACCUUCGUCUCUUAUGUCUCCUGCAUUGGCAGGUGGGUUCUUGAGCACUACUUCCACCUGUAGAUCUGGGGCAUGAGAAUAAAUGCCUCUGGGCAGAAGCAACUGAGUUUGGAGCCCUUUGUUUUGCAGCAGAGGCUGACUGAUGGGCCUGGCUACACCAUGCACUCAUGCUGUCUCACGUGACAUGUCACUUCCUCCAGGAAGCCUUCCUUUGCCCCUAAGGUCUGGACUGGGUAUGCCCACCGCGUGCCCUGUCCUGACCCUUGUCCUGCUGUGUGGUCACUGCUU